rnacentral:piRNA from 1 species
UGCACACAGCACAAUUCAGAAAUACCCAGG